rnacentral:rRNA from 1 species
AAUUUUCGACAAUGGGGGAAACCCUGAACAAGCCAUCCCGCGUGUAUGAUGAAGGCCUUCGGGUUGUAAUGUACUUGUGGCUGAGAAGAAAAGGUAUCUCCUAAUACGAGAUACUGCUGACGGUAUCUGCAGAAUAAGCACCGGCUAACUACGUGCCAGCAGCCGCGGUAAUACGUAGGGUGCAAGCGUUAAUCGGAAUUACUGGGCGUAAAGAGUGUAUAGGCGGUUCGGAACGAAAGAUGUGAAGUCCCAGGGCUCAACCUUGGAACUGCAUUUUUAACUGCCGAGCUAGAGUAUGUCAGAGGGGGGUAGAAUUCCACGUGUAGCAGUGAAAUGCGUAGAUAUGUGGAGGAAUACCGAUGGCGAAGGCAGCCCCCUGGGAUAAUACUGACGCUCAGACACGAAAGCGUGGGGAGCAAACAG